rnacentral:lncRNA from 10 species
GAGACCAUUAGGGCAAUUACCUAAUGCAUACAGGGCUUAAAGCCUAGAUGACAGGUUGAUGGGUGCAGCAAACCACCAUGGCACAUGUAUACCUAUGUAACAAACCUGCACGUUCUGCACGUGUAUCCCAAAACUUAAAAAAAAAAGAAUAACUAUAAAAUAAGAAUUCUAACUCAAAAACAAACAAAAAAGAAUUAUUAUGAAAUAAAGAAGAAUUCUAACUCAAAAACAAAACAAAAGAUAACUUUUUCGGGAGGCUGAGGCAGGCAGAUCGCUUGAACUUAGGAGUUCAGGACCAGCCUGGGCAACAUGGAGAGACCCCAUCUCUACAAAAAAAAAAAAAAAAAAAAUUAGCCAGGCAUGGAGGCUCAUGCCUGUAGUCCCAGCUACUUGGGAGACUGAGGCAUGAGAAUCAUUUGAACCCAGGAGAUGGAUGUUGCAGUGAGCUGAGAUCGCACCACCGCACUCCAGCCUGGGUGACAGUGAGACCACUGUAUAAAAAAAAAAAAAAAGAGCCCAUAAUCCCAGCACUUUGGGAGGCUGAGGCAGGCGGAUCACCUGAGGUCAGCAGUUCGAGAUCAGCCUGGCCAACAUGGUGAAACCCUGUCUCUACUAAGGAUACAAAAAUUAGCUGGGUGUGCUGCCAGGUGCCUGUAAUCCCAGCUACUCGGGAGGCUGAGGCAGGAGAAUCUCUUGAACCCUGGAGGUGGAGGCUGCAGUGAGCUGAGAUCGCACCACUGCACUGCAGCCUGGGGGACAAGAGCAUCUGAGACUUUGUCUCAAAAAAAAAAAAAAAAAAAAGAAAGAAAAGAAAAAGAGAAAGAAAAAAAACAUUAGCUGGGCAUGGUGCCAGGUGCCUGUAAUCCCAGCUACUCGGAAGGCUGAGGCAGGAGAAUCGCUUGAAUCUGGGAGGCACAGGUUGCGUUGAGCCGAGAUCCCGCCACUGCACUCCAGCCUGGGCAACAAGAGUGAGACUCUGUCUCAAAACAAAACAAAACAAAACAAAAAAGCACUGAAUCCAAAUCACAAAUAAUGAGAUUUAGCAUAGGGAAUUCAGUUGCAGACAGCAUAGCGUUUAUUUUUUAUGGUUUUAGACUCCUCAGGCUAAUUUCAUAUGCAUGUUAAAGGUUUAAUUUGUAGAAUAAGUAAAUUUAAACACAAGUAAAAUAUUAGAAUUGAAUGCCAAGGUCUCAUAGUAUUUGAAAAUCACAUGUACUCUUGUCUGGAAUCCACCUCAACUCUUGACAGCCAUGGUCAUGUCUUGAACUUCCAAAUCGAGAAACCACUCCAGCUACAAGAUUUCUAACUGAAAAUUUUCUCUUAACCUUUUACUUCUUCUAUUUUUCCUGUUAAAUGAGGUCAAUUAAACAUGCUCUUCACUUGCUGGGCGUGGUGGCACAUGGCUGUAAUCCUAGUUACUUGGGAGACUGAGGCAAGAGCAUCCCUUGAGUCCAGGAGUUUGAAUCCAAUUGGGGCAACACAGGAAGAACCCGUAUAUUAAAAAAAUAAAAAAAUAAAUGUCUUCAUAUUUACUUUGACUUUGACUCUUUUAGCUUACACUAAUAUUCUAAGCCUAUGAUGAUUACUUGUCUCAUGGCUUUCAUGUUCCCAUGAACAUGCUAGCCAUUUUGAGCAACUGAAAAUUGCUUGGCCUUUUGAUUUUCCUUUGUUACUAGCUGAAUGUUUUGCCCUGGCCUUGGCCUUGGAACAUCACUUUCUUCUUCAGAUAUGUGAACAAGGACGGAUACAACCAGAUCUAACCAGACUAGGUUUAGGAUAUGUAUCUUUCAGAUUGAGGAACCCACUCAAGGGCAACAUUAACAUACAGAGGCUUCUUGACUUAUGAUGUGGUUACAUCCCAAUAAACCCAUCAUAAGUUGAAAAUAUCAUAAGGCAAAAAUGCGCUUAGUACAGCUAACCUACCAAACAUCAUAGCUUAGCCUAGCCUACCUUGAACAUGCUCAGAACACUUACAUUAUCCUACAGUUGGGCAAAAUCAUCUAACCCCAAACCUAUCAUAAUAAAGUUAUUUUAAAGAAUUUUACAUCAAAAGUCAAAAUUCGAAGUAAGGUUUCUACUGAAUUCUAGCUUUUACACUACUGUAAAGUUGGAAAAUCCUAAGUCACACCAUUGUGAGUCAGGGACUGUCUGUAUCUACUUUAAAUCUUGGUUAGUUAGGGAACAAGGAAAGAAAAGAACAAUAGUUGUCAGGGACUAGAGAAGCGGUACAGUAUGUUCCCUCAGCACGGAUACAAGCAGGGACUUCGGUUACUGCACUAGUGGUGCUGCACAAAUAUUACUGCUCACUUGCUACAGACAAGGCCCUACUCUAGGAAUAGGACAUACAGCAGAUGACAGUCAAGGACCUCAAGGGGUUCAUAUUCUAGUAGAAGGUUCAUACUGUUUAAUGGUUAACAAAAUUAUGCCAUUCAGAUAAAACUGCUCAAUUCUUGCAUAAUUUUAUUCUCAUCAUUUCCCAUGUUUAUUGUUCAAAAAUACAAUGGGCUAUUAAAUAUUCACUAUUCUUUAGGUUUUAAAAAUAUAAGGGUUAUGGUAUGAUUUGCCAUCCUACAUUUAUCAGUUCCUUUGACUAUUAGUUAAAAACACUUUUCUACCUCUGGACUCUGUAUACAUCUCAGAUUUCUUGGUUCUCGGGCACCAGCUAUGGGUCCAUUGUGAGAAAUUUCCUACUUUUCAACUGUGAGCGCUCUCGGGGCCUUGCUUACAUUUUUCAAGUUAUCUGCAGGGAUGGAAUUAGUUUUUAUUUGUUGUGUACAAAGUCCUUGCUUUCGGUGGUAGAAUGAAAUACUUAGAGAACAGUCCAUGGAUCUAUUUACUUCCCAUGACCUGUGAAGAGGAGUGAUGUUGCCAGGACCUCUUUCCUGGGUUGUACCCAGAGCUGUUUUCUGCACGCUCUGAGCCUCCAGGGAUGCCAUCCCAAUGGAGGCUAAUUGAUCAAGGCUGCCUGGAGAAUUGUUUUGAGAUAGAUUCUGAGGCUUAGGCUGGGGAUCAUCAGAAAAGAAAAUUAUGAUUGAUAAGUGAAAUCUGCUGUGGGCAAGGAAGGGUAAACUUGUACUUUACAUGCCAGGAAUUUUCGAAUCUGUAUGUGACUCCCAAGAAAGGCUUGACCUUGUAGCUUCGAUUUUAAUCUCCGCAGGUAUAAGGAUAAUUCAUUUUAUGUUGAAUAGACUGCUCUAAAGACAAUUUAAAUAAUCUAAUACCCCUGCCCAUUUCCUAAGAGAGUUGUGUUGACUGUUUUAUUCCCAAAUAGGAUCAAAUUCAACCUGCUGUCAUUGGUAGAUCAUUCUUCUUAACACACAUGUAAGAAUAAAAACUAUUAUUAGUUUGGUGAUAAAGGCAGUGAAACAAACACCGAGAAUAGGAGUAGAAAAAUGUUCUGUGUGACCUUGGUUAAAUUAUGAGGCAAAUAAGUUGAAAUAUCUCCAGAUACAUUCUCGCUCAAAUAUGCCAGUUUUCAAUAAUUUAUUGAAAUCAUAUAAAUUCUGAAACAGAUUUUUAAAAUACUUUAAUAAUGGGAUAUCUUAAUUAUUUGAUGGGAAGUAUUUUUUAAAAUUACACUCCUAUUGUCCUAAAUUUAUGAAAAAAAAUGAAUGUUCAAUGCAGAACACUUGCAUAAAUACACACACUUUUUAAAAAAGGUACCUUUAUGCAUUUUGCUCUGCCCUUAGGCACUCUUUUUCCAAUCUAGAAUAUAUUUCUGGAUGUUUUUCAAUUGACAAUAAAAUUACUGGAGUACACGCAUGUUUUAUUGUGUUUGUGUGUGUCUAUGGACUGGAUCACAAGGUAUACCAGAUGUAUUUCUAGUGGGCCAUGGUAAAUAUAGUCUGAAAGUCACCAUUCUGACCAUACCCCUCUCAAAAUCACAGAGCCUUGGAGAAGAGAAGAACAGUUUCUUGCUGCGUACUGACUUGGCACAUACCAUCAGUCGCAAUCAGGCCAGAUCUAUGUGCUGCUUUAUUUUCACAGUUCAAGUAAAGCUGUGGAAAAAGUCUGAGCAGCAGUAGUAGGCAAGGUCUGUGCCACACACGGAAGCAGAACGCAAAAUGCAUUCCACACACAUAGAAGUGUGACACAAAAGUUUGAGCAUUUACCUGUAUGAAUGCCCCAGUCUGUGUCCACCGCUUCUUUGCUCUGAGUGAUGCUCACCCAUGCCCCCCUAGUCCCAAUUCCUUGAACCACACAUAUAACUUAUUACAUGUCAUGGUCAUGUGUGACUCCAACCAGGUUGCAAUAGCUGCAGUGAUUUUCAGAUUUUCCCUGCUUUCUAAAGAGAAGUGAGAUCAUAGCAUGUUUUCACUAAUCAGUGAUUUAGGUAGACAGAUGACAUUUGGGGGUGACAAUAACUAGAUUUAUAAAUGCUACAAAUCCGACCCAUAGAAAUAAGAAAGUGACUGGAGUCAGAAGGUCAAGGAGCACCUGUCACUUUCCCAGCAGGGCCCAACCUGCAGUCUCUUUUAUGGCUACAAGCUGGAGGUCAGGAUCUGAACUGAACAGGAGUAAGAGAAGAGGGACUUCCCAGGGGGGCUCAGAUAGUUCACUGGGUGUACCUGAGAUCUCACUAUCUGCAGACUUGUAUUGUUAUAAAAAUAAGUGAAUACUUAACUGCCACGGUGGGAUAGCACAUAAAGAGAAAAACAUACUUAGGUAGUUUUAAGGAAUGGGAAGGGGUGAAAUAUAGUCAUCCCCUGAUAUCUGCAAGGACUGGUUCCAGGACAACUUCUCCAACCCCCAACCUGCAGAUACCAAAAUCUGUGGAUGGUAUACUUAAGUCCCUGAUAUAAAAUGAUGUGGUAUUUGCAUAUAACCUAUGUACAUCCUCCCGUAUAUGUUACAUCAUCUUUAGAUUACUUAAAAUCCCCAAUACAAUAUAAAUGCUAAGUAAACAGUUGUUGUACUGUAUCGUUUAGGAAAUAAUGACAAGAAAAAUGUCUGUCUGUGUUCAGUACAGAUGCAACCAUUCUUUUCUUUACAAAUAUUUUCAAUCCAUGAUUGAUUGACUGAAUGUAUGGAUGUGGAACCCACUGAUACAGAGGGCUGACUGUAAUAAAACCAGCACCUAGCGCUGUAUGAAAGGUUAGCACUCCCCUUGACAAGAAUGGAAGAGGCCCUCGGGCCUGACAACACACAUAUGGUUAAAACUAGCACCUAACUCCUCAGUAGCCUGGCAGGAACUGGGAAUGGUGGCCUAUGUUUUAAGAGAACCCCUUCUGUGGGCCCCCAAUGGCUACAGCCUGAUACUCAGGUGAUGGUGUGAGAUAAGCCUCAGUGCUUUUUUUUAUCCCCUGUCCCCCAAUAUUUACUAAGCUUCAGGAAACUAUAUUCUUUUUUGAUAAGUAUCCAUUUAUUAACACUGGUAACAUUUUCAGGGCACACAGAACAUGCAUUCUUUGGUA